GCGGGUAUGCACAAGGUGUGUCGCCAGCCUUCCAAGCUGUGUAGUGAGGGUUCGAAUCCCUCUAUCCGCUCCA
rnacentral:tRNA from 1 species